UAGCCCCGCCUCUUCGUCUGUGAGGAAGCGCAUGCGUGCCGCUGUCAGCACGUCCCCUACGAGAGGAUUCGGAGCAUAAACGUGCGGAGGCUAGAGCGGUCAGGGUUCUGCCCUACAUCCGGCUUCGCCUUUGGCCGGUGGAGAGUCCGCUACGGAGCCGGGAGUCGGCCGGGCAUGCCAAUGAGACGCGGGUCUAGCCGGCUCCGCUUUGCUCCCGCGGCCAGAGGCGGCAGUAGUAGCCGUAGCUCCAGAGCGGGAGGAUGCUGCCGGCUCUGGCCGUCCCACGGAGAGGGUGGGGAUGCCUCUAUCAGCUCCAUCUGCUGCGGCGCCGGCGGGGCCAGUGCCAGGCAGGGGUGACGCUCGUCCGGGCGGGCUGUCACGGAUGGCAGGUGCCCCUUAAACUUGGAAGUCUCUUGCCCGUACUGCCAUGUAGCCGUCUGCCUGUUCAUUCAGCAAGUCAAGUAAGGGUUUACACUUCAGAUGGUCAGAAAAACAACACAGGAACACAAGAUGCAAGUUCCUUGACCUCUGAAGGCAGCACACAGAAUACAGCAACAGCCAGGAAUGCCAGCAGUCAAAUGUCACCUUCCCUUCAACAGCCUAUCCAAAUAAAAGUGAAAGCUGUGCUUAAAAAGAGAGAUUAUGGACCAAAAUACACAAAGAAUAAUUUCAUCACUGGAGUCAGAGCAAUAAAUGAAUUCUGCUUGAAGUCCAGUGACCUAGAUCAACUCAGGAAAAUUAGACGACGAAGUCCUCAUGAUGAUACUGAAGCUUUCACUGUGUUUUUGAGAUCGGAUGUGGAGGCAAAGUCUUUAGAAGUCUGGGGAAGUCUGGAAGCUCUUGUUAGAGAGAGAAAAAGGCGUAAAGAAGCAGAAAUAGAAUAUAGAGAAAAUCUGUUUAGAAACCAAAAGUUGUUGAAGGAAUACAAAGAUUUCUUAGGAGAAACUAAGCCACGUUCCAGCACAUCAGCUAUGUUUCUUGGGGGACCUGGAAAAGUAGUGAUGGUUGCAAUUUGCAUAAACGGCUUGAAUUUCUUUUUCAAACUUCUUGCUUGGGUUUACACGGGUUCUGCAAGCAUGUUCUCUGAAGCCAUACACUCUUUAGCAGAUACUUGCAAUCAAGCUUUGUUAGCAUUGGGAAUCAGUCAGUCUGUGAGAACACCAGACCAGAGUCAUCCGUAUGGGUUCGCAAACAUGCGCUACAUUGCAUCCCUGAUUAGUGGUGUUGGUAUUUUCAUGAUGGGUGCAGGACUUUCAUGGUAUCAUGGUAUUAUAGGUUUACUUAAUCCACAACCCAUGGAAUCCUUUAUAUGGGCUUAUUGUAUAUUAGCAGGAUCAUUGGUAUCUGAAGGAGCUACUCUUCUUGUAGCUAUAAAUGAAAUUCGAAGAAGUGCCCGGGUCAAAGGUUUAUCAUUCUAUCAGUAUGUCUUGCAGGCUCAUGAUCCCAGCACCAACGUUGUGUUGUUAGAAGACACUGCAGCAGUUCUGGGUGUGACACUGGCUGCUGCUUGCAUGGGUCUGACCUCCCUAACUGGUAAUCCAUACUAUGACAGUCUGGGAUCCCUGGGCGUGGGUACUCUGUUGGGGGCUGUAUCAGCCUUUCUUAUCUAUACCAAUACUGAAGCACUACUAGGACGAUCCAUCCAGCCUGACCAGCUUCAGAGGAUUACAGAGUUGUUGGAGAGUGACCCUGUAGUAAGAGCAAUUCAUGAUGUUAAAGCCACAGAUAUGGGAUUGAGCCAAGUGAGAUUCAAGGCCGAAGUAGACUUUGAUGGACUGGUUGUUACUCGGUCUUACCUGGAGAAACAAGACAUUGAACAGCUGCUACAAGAUAUCCAGCAAGUGAAGACUCUUGAGGAAUUGGAGACUUUCAUGCUUAAGCAUGGUGAAAAUAUUAUUGACACGCUUGGAGCUGAAGUAGACCGGCUUGAGAAGGAGCUAAAGCAACGUAAUCCUGAGGUGCGGCAUGUAGACCUGGAAAUAUUGUAGGCUUGGUGGAAGAAAGCCUUCGAGAUGUCUUUUCUGGAUCAGCUUUGCUGAGAAAUUAUUGCAGCAACCCAACCCCAGGGACCUCAAGAUGUCUCCUAAACCUCCUGACUUCUUAGUGCUGACUUUUCUCCAGAAAGAACAAUAGCCUUCUCUGAACUGGUUUCUCAGGCCAGCUACAUGCCAUCUCCUCUACAGAUUCACAUGUAAAGAGAUGAAUAUUUGGGACUAGAAACUUUUUAAGUUAUUGAAAUGUCAGUUUCUGAAAAUACAGUGUAUAUUUACUGCCCCAUUUCAGUUUUUUUAAAUGAAUUUGCACAUUAGUUUCCAUUCAGUGGCUAUUACUAAGCAUUUAUUGGAGAACUGAGAGACGCAUCCAUGCCCUCUUAAAGACUGCAUUCCUCCUUGACAAAUUGAUGUAUUCCAGUGCUGUAGCCUUCCUCUGACUCUUGCUGCUUGAACUCUGUAAGAAUCCUGCUCUUUCCCUUAGUAUCAUGAGUUGGGAACUUUCCUCCUUGUGAUGCUGCAGUUCUUGACAAGCUUAGAAAUCGGACAGAUUUGAAUAUUGCCAUUCAUUGUCCUAGAGCAACCUGAGUUGAUGUGUAACAUGCAUCUGUGUAAGUGGACUCUGCUUAUGGUGCAUUUCUUUUACUAGCAGUUUGGUCUCCCAUGCUACUCCCAGUAGUGUUGGCAGCUUCCAUCUUCUUGGUUAGGAUAGAUUGUGUGGUAAUGUACUAUGACAGUGACACAUCAUCUAAUGUGCCCUGUCCACAUAAUGUAUAAGCAUGGCUGGUAUCCUGGUUCUUCCCCUCUACAGAUUCUUAAAUAUUUUUAUCCAUCCACCAACCUUCUUACCUCUCUAGUUGCUUUGUAAUGCCAGAAGCUACAACAUGAAAGUAAUUCAUUAAUCCGGUUGCUCUAAACUCCCUCUUGGUCUUGAAUUUUCCUCUGUUCUAAGAGUCUCCAUGCUACAUAUUGUCUGCCCAUGACAGAUGCAGCAAGAAACAUGCUAUAAAAUGCACUGAGACCUCUAUAGUGCCAGCUGAGGGAGGGGCCAGGAUCCAAAGAACCGUGAACCUAGUUCCAUUGGCUCAAGAUGGCUUUGGACUUGGUGUUUCUCAAACAGCAGUCCCCUUCUCCACCCAGUGCUACAUAGCCAACCAGUUCUUGAAACUGGAGUUGCAAAAGCUAUGUGUGGUGAAGGUCUGCUGUCUGAAGGAGGAGAAAACUCACUAAAUAGCACUAAAAGGCACCUAAAGUAAUGGUUUAGAUCCCAGCCAGCAUAUUUAUCUAUAUGGCUCAGAUUAUGUAGCUCUUGUUGAUAGAUGACGUUUUGUAGUAUGAGACUUUUUGACAGUGGGGAAUAAAACCCCUACACUGAACUUGAAUUGCUUUCAAUAAUUCUCUUGUGUUGGGGAGCUUGCUUAUUCAUGGCUGGACUUGGAAUGUUAUGUGCUGGCAUCCUAGAUGAUGAUGAUGAUGGACUGCAUCUCCCAUGAUCCCUGUCACAAAGGCCAUUGUGACAGGGGGUGAUGGGAGCUGUUAUUCACCAUUUUGAAGACCCAGGAUUAAGUAUGUGCAGUGGGAGCUGGGGAAGAAGUAGAGAUCCAAAAUACAAACUCCCUUAAGCUUGUAUAGCAAUUUUGGAACCAUUUAGUUUGGGAGAAUUUUAUACAUGUCAGGAAAUGUACUCUUAUGGUUCGUGGAUUGUGGCCUUCAUCUUUACUAGAGCCAGGGUUAUCAAAACCAAAUUUUAGGACAUGUAUUUGGCUAAAACAUAGUCUCAUCUAAUGUGUUAAAAGGUAAGUAAGCACUUUAGAAAUAAAAUGGUGCAUUUGCAGGGCUUGUAAUGUGAAAUUGAAUCCAAGCUGGAUGUCAAGCACAUCUCCUUUCGCAGAAGGCCCUCUCACUUGCCAGGGGUACUUGUUGGUGCUGGAUCAAGGAAUCCACCUUGCCUCUAACCUUUGCAUGGGAUUGAACAAUGUCUUGCACAAUCUUGCUUAGUUGAAUAUGGGAUACUAUCACAGCAGCCGUUGCUGACCUACCUAUGGUGCUGCUUUUGGUGUUAGUUUUGGUUUCAAGCAUCUAGCUAGUUAUGAGCUGCCUCUUGCUUCAUACAAUAACCAGUUCUUGGACUCUUGGUGUUUCUCUCCGGUGUGCAGUGCAAGAGGCAGGCAACUGAAUGAGGGUUGAGGCAUUGUGCCUCACCAUGAGGGGUGGAGGCAGAGGUCUUGUAUGCUGAAUCUCCCCCUCUGCUUUCCACAUCCAGGGACAGAUCUGGAUUGUGAUCCAUUGCAUUCAUAAGGAAUGGGUUCUGCACCUGCACAGUGACCUCACAGGUUUAUUAGCUCCUUGUGACGCCCACUCUGCCCUGCACGUGCUCUGUGCUUCUGUUGAAAUGGGCAGUUGGUGCCAUUUUCUCAGUUUCUAUUUGACUGUCAAAGCGUCAAUACCUCGUUGCUGGCUCCUCGGUUCAAAUUGAUCCUAAGAAAGAGAAAAUGAUAUUACUCCUACUGACAUAGAUGGCAAGAAAUUCCUAAAGGGCAUAAACAAUCUAUAUCCGCCAAUAAGAAAACCCUUAUCGCUGGUUUGUCGCUGGUUUUGUCUACCCUUACAGAGAGCCCUUUUGAGCCUUUGGGUGAAGCCACCUUGAAGAUGCUCACCCUAAAGACAGCAUUCCUGAUAGCAAUCACUAUAACGAGGCGAAUGAGCUCACAGCUCUGUGGACAGAUGUACCUUAUACAUAGUUUUAUCGGCAUCAGGUGGCUAUGAGGUUAGAUCCACAGUUUUGCCCUAAGGUUGUGUUAUUUUCAUUUAAACCAAGAUGUAACAUUAACUACUUUAUGCUGGCCUUGGGCCGAAAUAAACAAAUACAUAUACAACAUUAACUACUUUCCCCCAGUAUCAUGAGAUGCCACUGGAGAGGUUGCUUCAUUCUCUGGAUGUCAAGCAUUCUCUUCUGUAUUAUCUGAAGGGAACCAAGAGUAUUAGAAGAACAAAGCACCUUUUUGUGGCCUAUAAGGGCAGAGCAAAGGGACAGCUAAUAUCACGCCAAUGACUGUCUCAUUGGUUAGUGGAAUUAAUAGUGCAGGUGUAUAAGCAGCAGGGCAUGGUCUGCCGCCCACCAUAACCAGAGCGUAUGCAUCAUCAGCUGCACAUCUGACCAGGAUUUGAAUAGUGAAUAUCUGCAUCAGCAACAUGGUCUUUGCUGCAGCUGUUCAUUAAACACUACUGGGCAUCUGGGCUGCCGGCCGGCUGGCCCACCCACCACCGCUGCUCUUUCCUCCCCUGCCCCCCAGCACACUCAGAUUUCUGGCUGGCUGGCCCGCUUCCCCCCUGACCCUGCGGUUUCUGGGUGGCCAGCCAGCCGGCCCGCUUCUUUUCCGCCCCAUCCCCCAUGCUUUCUGGCUGGCGGGCUGGUCAGAAAGUUGGCCUGCCACCUCCUGCCCACCACUCCCAGUAGCGGCCGCAAACUGGGCCAUCCCGGCCUGCUGCCUUCUCCCAGUGGCCAGGCCAGCCCGCUGCUGCCUCCUGCUCCUGCUGGGGUGCCCCCCACCAGCUGGGUCGUUGUCCUGAGAUCUGCUGAGCAGGCAGGUUUUGGGAGGAGUAUCUUAAAGAGGUUGUUGCAAUAUGCUUUUGGGUCUAUUGUGCCCACCACCUUGAUUGGAAGUUGGCUGAUCACCCAUUCCUUAUGAAUGCAAUGGAUCACGAUCAAGAUAAACAGGUUGCUUACCUGUAACUGAUCUGGUAGUGAUCUGUUGUAUUCAUAAGAUCUUUUUGAACCUCCCUGCAACAGUAGUUUAAAAAAAAAGGUGGGGGGAAAGACCACAGAAAUGUCACUGCAUGAUUGUCAGGAUAUGGCAGUUUCUGCAAGAAACUGAGGAAAUGGUGCCCAAACUGCUGAUUUCAACGAAGCACCUGCAGGGCAGAGUGGGUGUCACAAGGAGCUAGUAAAUCUAUCUGUGAGUUCACUGUGCAGGCGCAGAACCCAUUCCAUGCUGUUUAACUUCUACAUGAAAGCGCUGGGAGAGGUCAUCCAGGGACUUGGACUGAGUCAGCAAUAUGCAAAUGACACUCAGCACUAUCCUUGUCACCUGAUCCUAGGGAGGCAGUGGAUGUCCUGAAUUCGGGGCUGGAGGCUGUGAUUGGUUGGAUGUGGGCUAAUAAAGACACUGAAUCCAGACAAGACAGAGGUAAUGUUGGUCAGUAGGAGAGCCAAUUGGGAUGAGGAGAUUCUACCGGUUCUGGAUGGGGUUGCACUCCCCUUAAAGGAGCAAGUACACAGCUUGGGAGUAUUGUUGGGUGCCUUUGUAUGGCUUCGGCUACUGCACCAGCUGUGUCCUUUUCUUGAGAAGGCAGAUCUGGCCACAGUUAACCAUGCCUUAGUCACAUCACGGCUGGAUUACUGUAACAUGCUCUACAUGGGGUUGCCUUUGAAGAGUAUUUGGAAACUGCAGCUAGUGCAAAAAGCAGCAGCUAGGGUUUUAUCUGGAGCUUCCUACUAGGAUCACAUCACUCCCAUUUUGAAAGGGCUGCACUGGUUACCAGUUUGUUUCUGGGUCCAAUUCAAGGUGAUGGUUUUGACCCUUAACAAUGUGAGCCCUGAAUAUCUGAGGGACCGCCUGCUCCCAAGGGUUGCUGCCCAUUUGACAAGAUAAUCUAAGGGGGCUCUGCUCUGGGUGCUGCCAGUGAGGGAGGCUCGGCUGUUGUGCACACAGGACAGAACCUUCUCUGUUGCUGCCCCCAGACUCUGGAAUGCUCUCCUGAUGGCUAUUCGCUCCUCGGUCUCCAUCAGUUUUUAGAAAGCAUUUGAAAUCUUGGCUUUUUACCUAGGCUUUUAUAUGAUUGUCUCUACUGCUGCUGCUUUGUACUUUGUAUGGUUAUCUUAUGCUUGGAUUUUAAAACUUUGGUCAAAUCUGUUUUUAUAGUCUUGUUUUAAUUUUUGUGUUAACUGUGUUGGGAUUGUUUUAAUGAAAAGCAGAAUAUAAAUUUAAAAAUAAAUAAAUAAAUAAAUUCCUUAUGAAUACAACAGAUCACUACCAGAUCAUCAGUUAUGGGUAAGCAACCUGUUUAUCCUCAUGCUCCCCUCAAAAAAGCCCACCUGUUAAAUUUUGUAGACUUUUUAAAACUAAGCUUCUAUAAAGAACAAAGCCAACUGAAAUGGCUAAAUCACACAUGCGGCAUACUUAACAUUGUGGGUUCCUCCCAUCUAUUUAGCUUUCUUAGGAACAGUGUACGUAUGCUUUUGUCUUGUGUUUCUUUCCCCUUCAGAGUCAUUACAGCCUUGAUUGUUCUGCAGUCGAUUGUGGUCAAUGAUGCUCUGUAACAUCCUCGCAGCCUUUUCUGUAUUUUCUUAGAAAAUUAAGCAUGUAGUACUUCUUUCAGCAGACUUUGGUAGUAUUGAUACAUGGCCAGGAUACUGAAAACUAGGUGUUCUGUUCCAUGAUUUGUGUGUGUCUGUGUCAAUUCAAAAGUGUGCAGACCCUGUGUCAUGUGACAACCCACCUUCAAAACAAUUUGUGAUAUGCUAUGUGGGGGAUAGUACUUGACUGGCAAUGCAAAAGGCUAAAAUCCAUUAGGGAAAAAUCCAAAAAGCCUAUGAACACACAAGCCCUUGAUAUGUAAAACACUCUUGGAUCUAAAGUAGUGUUCUGGAUUUCAGUCACUAUUUCCCCCUCCCAACCAUCACCAGAGACCUUGGUUAAAGUCAGCAAUUAAACCUUGCUCUCAUCUAUCUUCAGUAAAUUGACUAUGUGUUCUGUGGCAAGCUCAAGUAAUUGAAUGAAUCAGUUGUACACAAAACAGUUACAAGCAACUUCUCUGCAGGGUGGAUACUGAAUAGGGGAAGCCUCUGGUGCAGACCUGUUCAAACAACUUGUGACCUAGAUGAAUACAGCAUAUACACCAUGGAUAGUGGCCUAGCAGGUGCUCAACAGCCCUUUGGAGGCCCACCAUACAUGGCUAGAUGCAUUUGGCUUGGUGGAUCACUAGUAUUUCAGGCAUGUGCUAGUGUGUGCAGGGAUCUUGAGUGUCCUCAAGAUUGUGGUCAUUGUACAAGAGCUGAUAUAAGCAGGUGAGUUAUGAGCAAGGAAGCCCCUGCAUAAAGUGUCACCUGCCAUGUGCUUGACUUGGGAAAAUUAGUUCUCUCCUUCUCCAGAUUAAACUGCACAUUAUUAGAGCAUGCUUAGCACUUGGUUUUCUUCUAGUUUGGAAAUGCUAAACAUGCACUUGGGGAAUAUGUAACUUGAUCCUCAGCCCCUCCAUCUGUAAUAUGGGGAUAAUGAGAGCGAUCUCUCUUGCCAGGCUGUUGUAAGCCUUAUCAAGAUAUGAGACACACUGAACUAUUGAGAUAUAUAAAUGUGAAUUAUAACUAAUGGAAGCUUAUUCAGACAAAGUAAAUGAUCAACUUAGAUAUUUAAAUUUUUCUUUCAACUUCCAUGUGGCUGCUAGAAUUCUUUAAAUGGUGAGGCUUUAACCAUUGUUCAUUUUUGAUUUUUUCAGUUUGCUAUUGAAGGUCACUGCAUCUGUUUAAUUUCUGAAAAGGUCAGCCUGAUGACUCCAUUCUGGAAGCUGUUCUUGGACUUUACAAUCUUAGCAAAUACUAGCUUAAUGUUGAGACUUUGGGAUUAAUUCAGAAUAAAGGUCGCUUUGUAAUGGU